CCCCUUUUAUACCCACACCCUGGGUGCAGGCAGGCGUGCUCACACCGGCAGAUUCGCUCAGCUUCCGUAUCGCUCUCCUCUCGACAUCUGUGUCUCUGCCCCACUCUGCUACCCCUCUCUCCGCCGGUGGAUUUUAGCCCACUGCUGUGUCGAACACCGCCAAAAUGUCUGACAAGCCCGACAUGACCGAGAUCGCCCGUUUCGACAAGACAAAGCUGAAGAAGACGGAGACAAAAGAGAAAAACCCUCUGCCCACCAAAGAGACCAUCGAGCAAGAGAGGAAAGGCGACGCCACACCUUGACUCGAGCACAAGAAGAACAGAAGCUGAGAUGCCACAGC